GGACACUCGACCCCUGCAGGAAGACUCGUUUUGCUGUGUCGUGAAUGGCGGAAAAGGCGGCUAGAGACACGUCGCUUCUCGUUCUGUGUCAUGAGGCUGUUGUUGUGAGUCGUCAGGAAUUCCUCUGUCACGUCCCACACGUUGGCUUCGAAGUUGUGCACGAACACCGUCUUCGGCUCCAACUCGUCAACCAGGACCUACGGCGGAGGAAGUAGGGGCUCGAAUUACUCGUACAUAGGGAUCCAAAGAUUCAAUGGGUUCGCUUAGUGUACCAGAACCUGCAAUGGCAUCACGGCCCGAUUUACGUACGACCUGAGUAUCCAAUCUACCAGAACCUAAUAAAGUGAAAUUCAGAUGAAAUAAAUAACUUUUCAUUAAAAAAGAAAAUAAACUAAAACGAGAUUCA